UGUAUGAAAAUCAUUAGUGGUUUGAUGUUGAGUGCUAUUUGCUCUUUUCAAGUCUGUAAUGUAUUUAAAAAGCCUUGUGUGUAGUACAGGCAUGCACUUUGCUCCCUGUUAACCAGUAGGGGGAAGUCUUGCUUUUUUAUUUCAGUGUUUUUUUGGUUUUUUUCCGUCUCAUUCAGUGACGUUUGACAAGUAGGCAACCAGUCACUGCUGAUCUCCAUUCAUGAAGAGCUUUUCUCUUUGUGAAUGGCAGUGUUAAAUGAAUUGAAUCUUAAACGGUCAAUGCUUUUCUUCUAUUCUCUUCUACUGUUUCUCUCUUUCUCUCUGCCUCCUUACAUGACUUGAAAUUAAAGAUACUGUUUUUAAGUCGUCAUUAUUGAUGUGGAUCAGACGUGUAUUUUUGGCCAUGAGAUGUGUGAAUGGCAUCUAUCAUCAUUAAAAAUAAAUAUAUGGUUUUACACUUAACAUUUGGCCCCAUGUUUGAGUACUUGCAACUUUUCAGGGAAGAGAACUUUAAUAUGUGCAUUCAAACAUGUCUCCUUUUAUACUAUAGCACCGCACAUUUCUUCCCCCACCUUGUGCAGUGGCCGUGAUAGGGGCCCGUUUGAUCUCUCGCUGUCCAAUCAUGCAUGAUUUUGCUGUGGCUUGUCUGCUCUUGUAACCUUGGGUCUCAUCCAUGACACAGGAAGUUACUCUUUUGUGUUCAGUUUUCCAUGCAGCUUUGAAUCCCAGUGGCUGUGCACAUUCAUUUGCUUGUAAAUAAGAUACUGCUAUUAAACGUCUCUCGUGUUCAAUGUUCAA